UGGUGGAGUGAUUUGUCAGGUUAAUUCCGAUAACGAACGAGACUCUGACCUACUAAAUAGUUUGCUCAUACUUAGUUGUGUUUGCAAACUUCUUAGAGGGAUAAGUAGCGUUGAGCUACAUGAAAUAGAGCAAUAACA
rnacentral:rRNA from 1 species